rnacentral:rRNA from 1 species
UACCAGCACCCCGAGUGGUCGGGACGAUUAUUGGGCCUAAAGCAUCCGUAGCCGGUUCUACAAGUCUUCCGUUAAAUCCACCUGCUUAACAGUUGGGCUGCAGAGGAUACUAUAGAGCUAGGAGGCGGGAGAGGCAAGCGGUACUUAGUGGGUAGGGGUAAAAUCCGUUGAUCCACUGAAGACCACCAGUGGCGAAGGCGGCUUGCCAGAACGCGCUCGACGGGGAGGGAUGCAAGCUGGGGGAGCAAACCGGCUUAGAUACCCCUGUAGUCC